rnacentral:sRNA from 1 species
GAAGUACCUUGGAGAUUUGGAAACAUGGGAUAAAGCUGAAGCGGAUCUCAAAGAAGCUA